rnacentral:rRNA from 1 species
UACGUAGGGUGCGAGCGUUAAUCGGAAUUACUGGGCGUAAAGCGUGCGCAGGCGGUGAUGUAAGACCGAUGUGAAAUCCCCGGGCUUAACCUGGGAACUGCAUUGGUGACUGCAUCGCUCGAGUAUGGCAGAGGGGGGUGGAAUUCCACGUGUAGCAGUGAAAUGCGUAGAGAUGUGGAGGAAUACCGAUGGCGAAGGCAGCCCCCUGGGUCAAUACUGACGCUCAUGCACGAAAGCGUGGGGAGCAAACAGG